rnacentral:rRNA from 1 species
GGCGGCAGGCCUAACACAUGCAAGUCGAGCGGUAACUAUUUACAAAAGCUUGUCUUUUGGAGAUGACGAGCGGCGGACGGGUGAGUAAUGCCUGGGAAAUUGCCCUGAUGGUGGGGGAUAACCAUUGGAAACGAUGGCUAAUACCGCAUAGUAGCCUCGGCUUAAAGAGGGGGGGGACCUUAGGGGCCUCUCGCGUCAGGAUAUGCCCCAGGUGGGAUUAGCUAGUUGGUGAGGUAAAGGCUCACCAAGGCGACGAUCCCUAGCUGGUCUGAGAGGAUGAUCAGCCACACUGGAACUGAGACACGGUCCAGACUCCUACGGGAGGCAGCAGUGGGGAAUAUUGCACAAUGGGCGCAAGCCUGAUGCAGCCAUGCCGCGUGUGUGAAGAAGGCCUUCGGGUUGUAAAGCACUUUCAGUCGUGAGGAAGGGUGUGUAUUUAAUAGAUGCGCACUUUGACGUUAGCGACAGAAGAAGCACCGGCUAACUCCGUG